UGCGGCUGAGGCGGCCAAGCUCCAGAAAACCUUCCCCGAUCAAAGAACUGGGUCAUGUGGGAGCCAACACUGUUUAAAAGGGAGAACCAGUCGCUUUCUCCUGGGAGCAUUUGUGGGGGAUGAUUGUCACUUCAGAACCUUCUUUGCUAAGGCCCUGCUCAGAUGGGUCACUGUGGUCUAGCUCCUCCAGUACUGGGGACCAUGAAUUCUUGGGUGUUGCCGAGCGAUCAGGGAGCUGGGAGGGGGAGCUAGCACACCGUUGAAGCAGCUUACUUUCACAGCUGAGCCAGCCCUGCGGAACAGGUGCUUUUUAAAAAGCCUGUGAAAGUAGAGGCUCCCACUCGGCAGGGAACAGUCACACAGGACAGUUAAAAGUGGCUUCCCAACUUCCGCGGGGCGCACGAGCCAGGGUGGAGACAGGACGAUCGGAGAGUUUGAGAAAGGCCUGGAUCUCCCUGAAAGACUUCCCGCAACCCAACGUCCCAUCACCGUCCCCGGCGCACACGUGAGGCUCAGCAAAGCGUGCCACCUGCCGGGGCUGCAGCUGCUGGUGCAUGGCGAGAGAGAAGCCGAAGAGACUCCCGGGAUCCCCCGAUUUCCGGAUCACGUUGUCCUCACGGGUGUCCAGGUUGAAGGCUGCGCCCAGACGGGCCAGAAGCCCUGCGGACAGGGGUUCAAGACGCACCUAACCGUGCCCAGCUCUUGCGGAUGGAUUGGCGCCACAUACUUGCUGGCUCCCCAGGCACUCGAGCGUCGAAAACGUGACACUAGCACACUUCGAUAGUACUGUGCCGUCUAUCUCGUUCAAUCCUAGGAAGUGGGAUUCCCUUGGCAGAUGAGGAAAGAAAUGGAAACUCAACCUUGCUGACUCUGAGUCCUUUGAUGUGGGGCUCUGGAGUUCAACUAUUUAUUGUCCCCUUUAAUACCCAAAUUUCCUGGUUUAGUUAGAAGAACUGCCUAGAGAUGCUCUUAGGUCCGUGUGGGGUGGCUUGAAGGCUGUGCCACCCGGGCAUAGGGUGAGGCUUCCAGGGAGGUGUUGGUUUUUGAGGCAUCCUUAUUUUAGGAAAGAAAAACUUGUUUCAAGGAUAUGAAGAACUUGGCUGAGAACAAAAGUGUACAUUUUAGUGUCCCAUCGUCCCCAACCCCCAGACAGUGUUUCUCUGUGUAACAGCCCUAGCUGUCCUGGAAUUAGCUCUGUGAACCAGGCUGGCCUCGAUCCACCUGCUGACUGGAAUUAAAGGCAUGUACCUCCACUACCUGGCAUUAGUGCCCCACUUUUAUUACCCUCUGACAUUUAGCACUUUUUUUCAUUAUGAAUGUAGGCAGAAAACCACAAAAGCAGGAGACUAUGUUAUCAAAAAUCCAGUCAUCAAUAGAAAAUAGUUUUCUCCAGGUCAUUAGGUUGUUAUAGAUGUCUCAAAUUACAGUUGUCAUCAUGUAACCCUCUGCUAGAUCUUGAUGUAUGUCAAUAAAGAAGCCACAAUAUAUUACUAUAGCAAAAAAAAAAGUUAACUUUCUGAGAUUUUUAAAAAUAUAAUUGGUUUUCUUCUUAAAAUACAUAUGUUGAUGGGGCAGUGGUGGUGUAUAUGUUUAAUUCCAGCACUUGAAGAUAGAGGCA